rnacentral:rRNA from 1 species
UCGAGAAUCUUCCGCAAUGGGCGAAAGCCUGACGGAGCGACGCCGCGUGGUUGAUGAAGUCCUUAGGGACGUAAAAACCUUUUAUGAUCAGGAAAGUUUAUUGAUCCGAUCAUGAAUAAGGGGCUCCAAACUCUGUGCCAGCAGGAGCGGUAAUACAGAGGCCCCAAGCGUUAUCCGGAAUCACUGGGCGUAAAGGGUGUGUAGGCGGUCUUGUUAGUCUCUCGUUAAAGCUCCCGACCUAAUCGGGAAAAUGCGAGGGAAACGGCAGGACUACGAGGAUGUGAGAGGUAUAUGGAACUCAUGGAGUAGGGGUGAAAUCCGUUGAUAUCAUGGGGAACACCAAAAGCGAAGGCAAUAUACUGGCGCAUUCCUGACGCUGAAACACGAAAGCGUAGGUAGC